rnacentral:rRNA from 1 species
AGCAGCCGCGGUAACUCCAGCUCCAAUAGCGUAUAUUAAAGUUGUUGCAGUUAAAAAGCUCGUAGUUGAAUUUCGGGGUUAGUAGGUUGGUCGUGCCUAUGGUAUGUACUGGCUUUACUGAUUCCUCCUUCUUGAAGAACUGUAAUGUCAUUAAUUUGGUGUUUGCAGGGACACAGGACUGUUACUUUAGAAAAAAUUAGAGUGUUUAAAGCAGGCUAACGCUUAGAAUACAUUAGCAUGGAAUAAUGAAAUAGGACGUUUGAUCCUAUUUUGUUGGUUUCUAGGAUUGACGUAAUGAUUAAUAGGGAUAGUUGGGGGCAUUAGUAUUCAAUUGUCAGAGGUGAAAUUCUUGGAUUUAUUGAAGACUAACUACUGCGAAAGCAUUUGCCAAGGAUGUUUUCAUUAAUCAAGAACGAAAGUUAGGGGAUCGAAGACGAUCAGAUACCGUCGUAGUCUUAACCAUAAACUAUGCCGACUAGGGAUCGGAUGAUGUUUAAUUUUUUAAUGACUCAUUCGGCGU